rnacentral:rRNA from 1 species
GUAAAAAGUAUAUCAGGUUGAAAACAGCGGUUCUCGUCCGAUCACCGAAGUUAGGCCACGUCGAGACUAUUCAGUACAUGGGUGACCGCUUGGGAAACCUAGGUGCUAUAAACA